AUAAAAGCCCUUUUAUAAAGCCAUUUUUAAACAAAACCAAAAAGUUUACAAAAGAAAAUAAAAGAUACAGAAGAAUGAGUUUGCUUAAUAUAUUCCAAAAAAGGAGGAAAAAAAUAAAAGAAGAGGGGGGGGACACAAUUCCAACAUGCUGAACAAUAAAGGGUUCAUUAUUUUUUUUUUGUUUUUCCUCGUGGUUCUUUUUUUUUAAUACAAAAUACAAGCGAAGGAUACACAGACUUAAAACAGAGCUCAGGAGCAGGUAUGCAGUCCCAGGAACCCUUUUUCAAUCAAAGCAAAGCAGGAAUUUUUUGUUAUUUUAUUAAUUUUUUUUUUGUUUUGUUUUUGUUUUUUUCUUUCUUUGCAGGUACAUACAGAGACUGGGGGAUAAUUCCAAAUUAAUCAGCACGAAAAGACCAGCACACGAUUCUAUACCAAUGAAUGGUUUUUGUAGCUAGAAAUCCACGAACAUGGUGGACACUCAUGUUCACUUCAACCCCUUUUUUUUGUUUUUUAAAAAAAUCAAAAUAAAACAAAAUAAAAAAAGGCGGUUUUGUUGUGGUUUUAAUUUUAAAUAAAGCAUUAAUGUUACAUUCAGACUUAGCUCCUAGUACCAUGCUAGAUCUCAGUGUUGUCAAGAGUUCCCAAUCCCACAGAUUUGUUUGCAGCUGCCCCUUUUUUCCUGCUUUUUUAAAAAUUCAACUAAAAAUUAAUAAUAAUUAAAAAAAAAAAAAAAAAAGGAUAAGGAGGGGACUGCAAAGAGCCUGAUGAUUUUUUUGUUUUAUAUUUUUUUUUUCAUUCUAAAAGCUCACCAGGUGUGUUCGCAGCUGCCCCUUUUCAAAAGGAAACAAAAAAUUAAUAAUAAAAAUUAAAAAAAAAAAAAAAGAUGAGGAGGGGAACUGCAAAGAGCCUGAUUUUUUUUUUUUUAAUAUUUUGUUUUUCUAAAAGCUCCACAAGGAUUGCAGAUACUCAAGACAAAAAAAUAUUCCUUUGCAUACCAGAAAUUGCUGCCAAGUCUCCUCCUCCACCUUCACUCAGGGUUUGCUGCGACACAACAACAAAAAAAUUACGUAGCUCUUAUUUACAAUUUUCUUUUUUUUUUUUUUUUUUUGUAACAAUUGCUUCUGCAGGAAGGGGAGAGAGGAGGGGAGGGGGGGAAGAAGAAAAAGAAAAAAAAAAAGAAGAAGAAAAAAGAAAAUAAAACCUCACAAACGCUGAGGACACAAAGGGAUGGCAGACGCUCCCGCUCGCGCACUCACACACCGAAAAUUGAAAAUUUGGGGUUUUUUCUUUUUUUUUUUUGUUUUUUUUUACACACAUUUAAGUCCGGCUUAAGCUGAUUUGAGGAUCUGCACCCUCCCUCCUCCCUCCCCUCACCCCAAAAUAGAUUUAUAAAAAACCCCGGCCCCACUGUACAGAGCGUUUGCAGCCACACUGAGCGCGCUGGGGCUGGGCUGGGCUCCCCAAAAUCCACCACGGGCUGGGCAAGAGACAGAAAAACCAUUCAGUGCUCGAGGGGGCAAGGUGGGACUGAAUUCAGGCCUGGGCUGGGCUCCCAAAGGCUCCAAAAAGCCCAAAAAUCCCUCAAGGACAAUUUCUGUUCUAUCAGCAAUGGGAUUUACCUCAAAAACUGCAGCUCACAGAUUGAUUUUGGUCAGAUAAACACAGAAUUUUAUCAUUUUUAGGUGAUAAAAGUGUCAGAAAACCUUUCUCCAAACUCAAGAGUUCCAUGAAAAACCAUUCAAUACUCGAGGGGGGAAGGUGGGAUUGAAUUCAGAGCUGAACUGGGCUCAGAAAGGCUCAAAAAAGCCCCAAAAUUCCUCCAGGACCAUUUCUGUUCUAUCAGCAAUGGGAUUUACCUCAAAAACUGCAGCUCACAGAUUGAUUUUGGUCAGAUAAACACAAAUUUUAUGUGACAGAAAACCUCUCCCCAAAUUCACACAAGAGUUCCAUGAAAAACCAUUCAGCUAAUUAAGUUGGAAGGGAUUUAAUUCAGAGCUGGGCUGAAUUAUGGAAUAAAAUAUCAGUUGGGGAGGUCUCUGAAAGGCUCAAAAAAGCCCAAAAAUUCCUCCAGGACCAUUUCUGUUCUAUCAAUUCUGGAUUUACCUCCUAAAACUGCAGCUCACAGAUUGAUUUUGGUCAGGUGAACACAGAAUUUUAUCAUUUUUAGGUGAUAAAAGUGACAGAAAACCUCUCCCCAAACUCAAGAGUGCCAUGAAAAACCAUUCAGUGCUUGAGGAGGGAAGGUGGGAUUGAAUUCAGAGCUGAACUGGGCUCUGAAAGGCUCCAAAAAGCCCAAAAAUUCCUCCAGGACCAUUUCUGUUCUAUCAGCAAUGGGAUUUACCUCAAAAACUGCAGCUCACAGAUUUGUUUUGGUCAGAUAAACACAAAAUUUUAUCAUUUUUAGGUAAUAAAAGUGACAGAAAACCUCUCCCCAAACUCAAGAGUUCCAUGAAAAACCAUUCAAUACUCGAGGGGGAAAGGUGGGAUUGAAUUCAGAGCUGAACUGGGCUCAGAAAGGCUCAAAAAAGCCCCAAAAUUCCUCAUAGACAAUUUCUGUUCUAUCAAUUCUGGGAUUUACCUCCUAA